GAUGAUACCCAGGAAGUCAUUAUCACCGUAGCCAGACAGGCCUGAUUUGGAAGCCUGAAGCCACUGUUUUGAAGAGAGAACCAGUUUCAGGAAUGAAACAGUAGCUGGAUUCCAUGUCUUUGGGAAGAAGCUGAUGCAAGAGUAAUACACUCUUAGCUCACAUUCCAGUGACCACGAGGGGUAAAGAGCACUAUGGCCCAACUAACACUCAAUACCAG